GCUUAUCCUCCGCCUGCAGUGCACGCGCCCGCAGAUCUCUCUCUCACACACACUUGUGGACAGCAGGAGUUUAUUUCUGCAUCCCGGAACCUCUGACCAUUGAGAAGCGCUCGACACGAGUGCAGUGACUCUGCUGUGAUGGACGGCUGUGCGCAGAUCUGUAAAUGUUUCCUGAUCCUGUUCAACAUUAUUUUCGGUCUGCUGGGCUUCAGUCUGGUGUCUCUGGGAUUGUGGCUCCGCUUCGGCGCUGAAACCAGAGGAUUCUUCGACAUCGACCUGAACACCAGCCAGUUCAACAUCGGUGUGUGUGUGUGUG